rnacentral:rRNA from 1 species
GAUCAAGUGUCUUAAGGGCAAUUGGUGGAUGCCUUGGCAUGCACAGGCGAUGAAGGACGUGAUACGCUGCGAUAAGCUACGGGGAGGUGCGAAUACCCUUUGAUCCGUAGAUUUCCGAAUGGGGAAACCCACCUAAGGUACUUGGAAAAUCAGAGCAGCCGGAAGGUCGCAAGGCCGACUUGCUGCUGUGGUUUCCAAGUAUCGAUAAUAGGUAACUUACCCUGAAUACAUAGGGGUAAAGUGGCGAACGCGGGGAACUGAAACAUCUAAGUACCCGUAGGAAAGGACAUCAACCGAGACUCCGGAAGUAGUGGCGAGCGAACCCGGACCAGGCCAGUGGCGAUUGAGAGACAAGCGGAACCUUCUGGAAAGUAGGGCCAUAGUGGGUGACAGCCCCGUACGCGUAAUGCAAUCAAUCGUCCUCGAGUAAGGCGGGACACGUGAAAUCCUGUCUGAAAUUGGGGGGACCACCCUCCAAGCCUAAGUACUCGUGCAUGACCGAUAGCGAACUAGUACCGUGAGGGAAAGGUGAAAAGCACCCCGACAAGGGGAGUGAAAGAGUACCUGAAACCGAUUGCCUACAAACAGUGGAAGCCCAAGGUUCGUCCUGGGUGACCACGUACCUUUUGUAUAAUGGGUCAGCGACUUAGUGUGACGAGCAAGCUUAAACCGCUAGGUGUAGGCGCAGCGAAAGCGAGUCUGAACAGGGCGUUCAGUUCGUCGCAUUAGACCCGAAACCGAGUGAUCUAGCCAUGAGCAGGUUGAAGGUAAGGUAACACUUACUGGAGGACCGAACCCAUAACUGUUGCAAUAGUUCGGGAUGACUUGUGGCUAGGGGUGAAAGGCCAAUCAAACUCGGAAAUAGCUGGUUCUCCGCGAAAUCUAUUUAGGUAGAGCGUCGACCGAAUACCCCAGGGGGUAGAGCACUGGAUGGGCUAGGGGUCCUCACCGGAUUACCAAACCUAACCAAACUCCGAAUACCUGGGAGUACUAGUCGGCAGACACACGGCGGGUGCUAACGUCCGUCGUGAAAAGGGAAACAACCCUGACCUACAGCUAAGGUCCCCAAGUUAUGGCUAAGUGGGAAAGGAUGUGAGGAUCCCAAAACAACCAGGAUGUUGGCUUAGAAGCAGCCAUCAUUUAAAGAAAGCGUAACAGCUCACUGGUCUAAAUAAGGGUCUUUGCGCCGAAAAUGUAACGGGGCUAAAGCCAUACACCGAAGCUUAGGGUUUGGUCCGCAAGGGCCAAGCGGUAGCGGAGCGUUCUGUAAGCUGAUGAAGCCAUACCCGUGAGGGGUGGUGGAGGUAUCAGAAGUGCGAAUGCUGACAUGAGUAACGUAAGGGGAGUGAGAGACUCCCCCGCCGAAAGACCAAGGGUUCCUGCUUAAAGCUAAUCUGAGCAGGGUUAGCCGGCCCCUAAGACGAGGCGGAAACGCGUAGUCGAUGGGAACCACGUUAAUAUUCGUGGGCUUGGAGGUAGUGACGGAUCAUUGAGGUAGUCCAAUCUUAUCGGAUUGAACGGGCUGCUGCGUGGUUCCAGGAAAUAGCUCCUCCUUAUAAACCGUACCCGAAACCGACACUGGUGGUCUGGUAGAGUAUACCAAGGCGCUUGAGAGAACUAUGCUGAAGGAACUCGGCAAAUUGCACGCGUAACUUCGGAAGAAGCGUGACCCUUUUCUACGCAAGUAGAGGAGGGUGGCACAGACCAGGGGGUAGCGACUGUUUAUCAAAAACACAGGGCUCUGCGAAGUCGCAAGACGACGUAUAGGGUCUGACGCCUGCCCGGUGCUGGAAGGUUAAGAGGAGGGGUGCAAGCUCUGAAUCGAAGCCCCAGUAAACGGCGGCCGUAACUAUAACGGUCCUAAGGUAGCGAAAUUCCUUGUCGGGUAAGUUCCGACCUGCACGAAUGGCGUAACGACUUCCCCGCUGUCUCCAGCAUAGACUCAGUGAAAUUGAAUUCCCCGUGAAGAUGCGGGGUUCCUGCGGUUAGACGGAAAGACCCCGUGCACCUUUACUAUAGCUUUACAUUGGCAUUCGUAGUGGCAUGUGUAGGAUAGGUGGUAGGCUUUGAAACCUGGGCGCCAGCUCAGGUGGAGCCAUCCUUGAAAUACCACCCUUAUUACUAUGGAUGUCUAACCGCGGCCCGUUAUCCGGGUCCGGGACAAUGUAUGGUGGGUAGUUUGACUGGGGCGGUCGCCUCCUAAAGAGUAACGGAGGCGCGCGAUGGUGGGCUCAGAACGGUCGGAAAUCGUUCGCUGAGUGCAAUGGCAUAAGCCUGCCUGACUGCGAGACUGACAAGUCGAGCAGAGACGAAAGUCGGUCAUAGUGAUCCGGUGGUCCCGCGUGGAAGGGCCAUCGCUCAACGGAUAAAAGGUACGCCGGGGAUAACAGGCUGAUGACCCCCAAGAGUCCAUAUCGACGGGGUUGUUUGGCACCUCGAUGUCGACUCAUCGCAUCCUGGGGCUGGAGCAGGUCCCAAGGGUAUGGCUGUUCGCCAUUUAAAGCGGUACGUGAGUUGGGUUCAGAACGUCGUGAGACAGUUCGGUCCCUAUCUGCCGUGGGUGUAGGAAUAUUGAAAGGAUCUGUCCCUAGUACGAGAGGACCGGGAUGGACGGAUCUCUGGUGGACCUGUUGUGGCGCCAGCCGCAUAGCAGGGUAGCUAUAUCCGGACGGGAUAACCGCUGAAGGCAUCUAAGCGGGAAACCCACCUUAAAACGAGUAUUCCCUGAGAACCGUGGAAGACGACCACGUUGAUAGGCCGGGUGUGGAAGAGCGGCAACGCUUGAAGCUUACCGGUACUAAUAGUUCGAUCGGCUUGAUCGUUCUCAUU